rnacentral:rRNA from 1 species
GACGAACGCUGGCGGCGUGCUUAACACAUGCAAGUCGAACGGAAAGGCCCUGCUUUUGUGGGGUGCUCGAGUGGCGAACGGGUGAGUAACACGUGAGUAACCUGCCCUUGACUUUGGGAUAACUUCAGGAAACUGGGGCUAAUACCGGAUAGGAGCUCCUGCUGCAUGGUGGGGGUUGGAAAGUUUCGGCGGUUGGGGAUGGACUCGCGGCUUAUCAGCUUGUUGGUGGGGUAGUGGCUUACCAAGGCUUUGACGGGUAGCCGGCCUGAGAGGGUGACCGGCCACAUUGGGACUGAGAUACGGCCCAGACUCCUACGGGAGGCAGCAGUGGGGAAUAUUGCACAAUGGGCGGAAGCCUGAUGCAGCAACGCCGCGUGCGGGAUGACGGCCUUCGGGUUGUAAACCGCUUUCGCCUGUGACGAAGCGUGAGUGACGGUAAUGGGUAAAGAAGCGCCAGCUAACUACGUG